UACGAAGGGGGCGAGCGUUGUUCGGAUUUACUGGGCGUAAAGGGCGCGUAGGCGGCCCUCCUUGUCGCGUGUGAAAGCCCCGGGCUCAACCUGGGAACGGCGCGCGAGACGGGGGGGCUGGAGUUCGGGAGAGGAGAGUGGAAUUCCCAGUGUAGAGGUGAAAUUCGUAGAUAUUGGGAAGAACACCGGUGGCGAAGGCGGCUCUCUGGACCGAGACUGACGCUGAGGCGCGAAAGCGUGGGGAGCAAACAGG
rnacentral:rRNA from 1 species